UUGUCAAAUUACGAAGGAGGUUCACACAUUCGAUUUCCGCGUUUAUACGCGAGGCUUUCGAUUUUCAUCACCAUUAUUUUCUCAUAAGUGUCGUCUGCCUGUCUUUCUUUCUCUCUCUCUCUCUCUCUCUCUCUCUCUCUCUCUUUCUCUCAUGCUCGCGUUCCAUCAAUCUUAAUCCUCGCGGUUUCGCGUCGAAUCAGGUACUCGCUAUCACCUCUUACCGUUUCGAUUCACGUCACACACGUCCAUACGUUUCUUUCUUUUUUUCU